UAUAUAGUAUAUAUGUUAUCUUAAACUUAUAUAUUUUAAAAUGCCACUACUAGCCAGCGCAGCUAAAAAUGAAAUACAUUCCCGACUGCUUCUGCCGACGGCAGAGGCAGCUUCUUAACGUGGCUCUUGCUUCUCUCUCACCAUAACUACUUCUAACCUCAAGCACGGGUCCUUGGCUGUCUGACCUCUACACUCUAGUUAUGCAAUGUCCUUAGAGAAUUCUGUGCACUGGCCACUGUGAUGGAAACCAAUGGGCCGGGGGUGCUUUGAGUUUAUUAGUAAUUGUUCUGCCAAAGUUGGUGUUUGUAUGACAAGCGUGUAAACCUGUCAGAUAAUCAGCAGAGGUCCAAGUUGGUAACGGUGUGGGCCUCUGUGCUGCGUUCACGAGGAGGCGAGACUUUAAAAUCUGCUGUUCUGCUCUUGCAGUGAUCUGUUGGCAGUCGCAAGUCAGCAACACCUCUGCUUUAUUAUUUGACACUUUACAUCUAAAAAGUCUUCUCUUUCUAUUUAUGUAACCCAUAGUCUUUGAAGAGUAUGGAAAAUGGCAUUUCUCUCUGACCUCUAGAAGUUCAAGUGUCAUGGGAAAAAAAAAAAAGAAAAAAAAAAACAGGAACCCCCCCCUUUACUCUUAUGGACCUCAUUUCAAUAUACUGUUUACAGUUUGACGGAAUUGUAUAAUUUAAUAUUUCUCUUGUACUGUAGUUUAUAUUUAUUUACAGAUUUUUUUUGUACUGUGUGAUUUGAAUUUUUUGUUCCUUGCUAUGAUCAAUGUUUUAUGUAGUAGAGCACUUAUGAUCACAAAUUAAGGUUUUUGGUUUGAUUGCACUACAUUAAUUUUUUUAAUGCAGUUCUGAUUUUUUGACUGGACUAAAUAAGCUGUGUCUUAAUGUAUGUGAUAAGUACUUUUAAAUUUUUAUUUCAUGUGGUCCAUUUAUUUUUUUGCAUUGUAUGUCAAAGCGCUAAUUCUCUUGUUGUGCAUGUGUAAGAUUUAAUGGCUCCAUUGUAUUAUUUGACCAUGUCAUUUUGGAAACACAUUCCCAGCUGUAACGUUGUGUAUGGUAGUUUUCACUGGAUGCUAGACUUUUCAAAACCACUAUUCUUCUAAUAAAUUUUGUUGUGAAAAACU